AUCGGAGCGGGGUGUGUGGCUGGUAGGUCUACAUCAUAGAUCGGAGCGGGGUGUGUGGCUGGUAGGUUACAUCACAGAGCGGAGCGGGGUGUGUGGCUGGUAGGUCUACAUCAUAGAUCGGAGCGGGUGUGUGGCUGGUAAGUCUACAUCAUAGAUCGGAGGCGGGUGUGGUGGCUGGUAGGUCUACAUCAUAGAUCGGAGUGGGUGUGUUGGCUGUAGGUCUACAUCAUAGAUCGGAGCGGGGUGUGUGCUGGUAGGUCUACAUCAUAGAUCGGAGCGGGGUGUGUGGCUGGUAGGUCUACAUCACAGAGCGGAGCGGGGUGUGUGGCUGGUAGGUCUACAUCACAGAGCGGAGCGGGUGUGUGGCUGGUAGGUCUACAUCACAGAGCGGAGCGGGUGUGUGGCUGGUAGGUUACAUCACAGAACAGAGCGGGGGAGUGUGGCUGGUAGGUUACAUCACAGUGUGGAGCGGGGUGUGUGGCUGGUUGGUCUACAUCAUAGAUCGGAGCGGGGUGGUGUGGCUGGUAGGUCUACAUCACAGAGCGGAGGCGGGUGUGUGGCUGGUAGGUUACAUCACAGUGUGGAGCGGGGGUGUGUGGCUGUAGGUUACAUCACAGAACAGAGCGGGGUGUGUGGCUGGUAGGUCUACAUCACAGAGCGGAGCGGGGUUGUGUGGCUGUAGGUCUACAUCAUAGAUCGGAGCGGGGAGGGUGGCUGGUUGGUCAACAUCAUAGAUCGAGCGGGGUGUGUGGCUGGUAGGUCUACAUCACAGAGCGGAGCGGGGUGUGUGGCUGGUAGGUCACAAUCACAGAGCGGAGCGGGGUGUGUGGCUGGUUGGUCUACAUCAUAGAUCGGAGCGGGGAGGGUGGCUGGUUGGUCAACAUCAUAGAUCGGAGCGGGGUGUGUGGCUGGUAGGUCUACAUCACAGAGCGGAGCGGGGUGUGUGGCUGAUUGGUUACAUCACCGUUGUGGAGCGGGGUGGUGUGGCUGGUUGGUUUCUCUGAGGAGAGAGAUAAGAGAGAAGAGAGAAGAGGAGAGAAGAGAGAGAAGGGGGAAAGAGAGAGGAGAGAGAGAGAGAGAGAGAGAGAGAGAGAGACAGAGAGAGAGAGAGAGAGAGACCAUCUCACUAGCUAUACAUAACAUCUGGUCAUGUCAAAUAGCCAUAGACAGACAGAGAAUAGAGGUGAUUGUAUCAUAGUGCUGCCCAAUGGGAUAGUCAUCAUUUGUUCAACUUGUUUAUGGCUUAAUCAUUAGAAUAGUUAACUUCCAUUUGAUAGAAUAAAGAAAGUGACCCAAAAUGUCAUACAGAUAAUUGUAUUGGUCCAUAUUUGGGUAAUGAGAUAUCAUAAAAGUGUAACUGGCAGAAUUACAGAUAUCUUACUUUGAGGAGUUUGGGUUAAGAAGAAAGAUGGAUGUCAGUCGCAGCUUGAUAUGCCUUCUGUUUCAUCUUUGUCUUUCUCUGUAGUUUCUUUAGUCUCCUCAGCGGUGGACUUACUGGUCGAGCUGGCCGAUG
rnacentral:lncRNA from 1 species